CACACAGCAAAAGAAACUACCAUCAGAGUGAACAGGCAACCAUUUUUUUUUUCAUUGAGGCAAAAGGUAGAGGAAUUUGGACAGUGAACCAAUUUCCAUUUAACUAAUGAUUAUACAUAUAUAGUGUGAUGGUUAAUUUUGUGUCAACUUGACUGGGAUGUGGAGUGCCCAGGUAUUAGGUCAAGCAUAAUUCUGGGUGUGUCUGUAAGGGUGUUUUUGGAUGAGAUUAACAUAUGAAUGCACAGACUGCGGAAAGCAGAUUGCCUUCCCUAAUGCAUGUGGCCCUCAUCCAAUGAGUUGAAGGCCUGAAUAGAACAAAAAGGCUGAUUCUUUUUAAGAGGGCACUCCUUCUGCCUGAUACUUGAGCUGAGACAUCGGUCUUUUCCUGCCUUUAGACGCAAACUGAAACAUCAGUUCUUCUUGGAUCUUGAAUUUGGCAUCUUUUGGACUGAAACUUGCACUAUCAUCUCUCCUGGUUCUCAGGGUUUUGGACUUGGACUGGAACAAUACCAUCAGCUCUCCUUGGUCUCCAGCUAGCUGACUGCAGAUCCUAGGGACUUCUCAGCCUCCGUGAUUGCCAAAAAUCCUGCAGUGGAGAAGUGCAGAACAUCCCACUUCUUUCUCAUCCUUGCUAUACUUAGUAUGACACUCUGGGACCUCUGGAUGGAGCCACAGUGAGAGAAGAAGGAGGAGCGAGAAGGUCCCAAAAGGUUUUACACCUGGACCUGAGGUGGGCAUUGGAACAAUGGCGGCAGAACCAGAGGUCACAUGUCUUUGCAUGUCUGGUCCAUUGCUUUAGACUGCGAGACUACUUGACAUCGCCGUAUUGCUCCCAGCCUGUGGCCUCGGCCUUCCUCUGACACAACAAGAAGUGUUGCAUUUAGUAUCCUGUUACAAGAAGUUGUUUUUGCUUGUUUGGGGCUUUUGAUAAUAAGAUGUCCAAUGAUGCAGAAAUAUAAUAAAUAAUAUACAUGUAUAUGAUGGGGGUUGUGGCAAAGAGAGACUUCUGAAGUGUCCUGAAGGAUGUGAACAAAUUUGCACAAGUAGUUCAGAGGCCUUCUAAGAAAGAAAGGAUCAAGGCCGGGCGCAGUGGCUCACGCCUGUAAUCCCAGCACUUUGGGAGGCCGAGGCGGGUGGAUCGCAAGGUCAGGAGAUCAAGACCGGCCUGGCCAACAUGGUGAAACCCCGUCUCUACUAAAAAAUACAAAAAUUAGCCGGGCGUGGUGGUGGGCGCCUGUAGUCCCAGCUACUCGUGAGGCUGAGGCAGGAGAAUCGCUUGAACCCAGGAGGCGGAGGUUGCAGUGAGCUGAGAUCAUGCCACUGCACUCCAGCCUGGGUGACAGAGUGAGACUCAAAAAAAAAAAAAAAAAGAAAGAAAGAAAGGAUCAAAACUCCAAUACUUUAUAUCAAGAUUCACCACUGAAAUCUGUGAACUGCAUUGGUACCGACCAAACUUAAGGGGCAAAGAAGGCCGAAAGGCCCCUUGAUUUAAAAACAAAAAAAGAGAAAGAAAGAGAAAAAGAGAAAGAGAGAAAGAAAGAAAGAAAGAGAAAGAGAG
rnacentral:lncRNA from 10 species